GGGGGCAUAGCUCAGUUGGGAGAGCAGCAGACUGAAGCGGAUCUUCUGUCUUGAGCAUUCUGAAGGUCCCGCGUUCAAUCCGCGGUGCCCCCA